rnacentral:lncRNA from 1 species
UUUUUUUUUUUUUUUUUUUUUUUGCGGCCAUAUCUUCUGGGAACCUCCAUAUGCCCAACGGGCGGCCCUAAAAAGACAAAAAGACUAAGCCAGCUCACAUUGGGUAGGUUCUUGGUGCUGCGUUCUGGGAACUUGAGAGGAGCAGGGCCCAGGACAGUGAUAAGAACAGUGCAGAAAUGGGCCGUGAGCAUCAGUAGCCAUGGUGCUUUUGAAUCCACAGAGGCUUGCAUUACAUCCACAUGAAUUGGAGACAGAAGAAAGGAGAAAUUCAAAAAAGCAGUGACUGUAGAAUAAAUUUUGGAAUCGUGUUGCCAGUAGGGAAUGCAUCCAUUAGGGUGAGCCCGUUACUCGCUCCCAGGAGCCCUGCUGUCGCACAGUUGGCACCAGUGCUGGGUAUACCCGGUGACUUGGCGCAUUACAGGUGAAACUAAUUGUCCGAAAUUGCUCACAAGGAGUUUGGAGAAGAGAAAUGAAAGUAGGAUGAACUAAGGGGGACGGCUGUGCGUAGGAUGCAUCAGGUAUGUUCUUGCUUAGUGGGAGGCUCAGAGGCGCCUUUCGCGGGGGAAGGACCUCGGGAGUGUGUCCGGCCAGGCGCAGAGGCAGAAGUGGCCAGGCGUCCGCCCCAGGGAGCAGGCAGGACCAGCAGGGCCCGAAUGAACAAGGGCUGGGGCUCACGCGGAUGAGCUUGCGCCGGCUGAGGCAGGUCGCGAAGCACAAGGAAGGUUUGUUUGGCAAGAGAGUUGAUGGUCCUGAGGUGUGUGCUCCAGACGGUUUCCUCGACUGUGGGUGCGCUUAUGGUAGCUCAGAGUGGGGGGUCGGGAAGCUAGACGCGAUGUGGAAAAGGAUUGGAGAGCAAGAGCGUAAAGCAGGGUGUAUCAGGAGUUGCCUGGUGCCCUGGCGAGUAAGGAUCCGGCAUUGUCACUGCUGUGACUUGGUUCGAUCCCUGGCCCUGGUGAGUGCAGCCAAAAAAAUCGUAAAAGAGAGAAAUGAAGACAUGUCAGUUAUUUAGCAAAUGCAGAGCAGUCGGACUGGGUUAACUGAGGCGUGUGGGGGUGGGGAGUUACACGGAAGGAAGCAGGCAGGAGGGACUGCUUUUACCCCCAAGGCCCGUAGUUUUGGUGCUGCCCACUUCCAAGAGAAGUGAGCGUGGGCUGGAGGUCCUCGGGUCUCGUGGCCUCCGGAAAGGUGUCGCGCAUGUGAACUCAUGAUGCUCAGGCAGUGGUCUUGGCUGGAGAAGAGGUUCGUUGCCAUCCGUAAACACCACUUGAUAAGAGUGUGAAACAGACAGUUCACCAGCAUGAGGUGUCUGUUGUCAGGGUCUGAAAACCGUGUACACCGCUGUGUGUGGCUGUUCAGAUAGACCUGGAAGGCCCUGCUGGGCCCGGUCUUUGCGGAACAUGCCGAGCCACCAUACAGCAGUGCCGUCACAUGCGUGCGUCACAGAAGAAAGCACGGGCUAGGAAUGGGUGUUUGUGAAAAAUCACCCCUUUUACUCAUACUUGGUUAAUGGCCAGCAUAAAUAACUGUGGAGACCAGAUGGGGAUUAGCCCCUAUUAGUACCUGCCCAGCAUCUGUGAGGAGGCUGUUGGGAUUCCGAACCUUACUCAGUGGGCGAAGGAUGCGGUGUUGCCGUGAGCGGUGGUGUGGGGUCACAGGUGCAGCUCGGAUCCCACCCCUAGCUGGGGCAUUUCCAUGUGGGUGCAGCCCUCACAUUAAAAAACAGAAUCAUAAAGUUACCUCAUUCUGCUCUGUGCCGCAGCCAUCGUUCAGACCUUCCUUUGAGAUCCAGAAGUAACCCUUUAUCAUACCAUCUCUUUUUUAAGCCUUAUUACCUGUACAAGCCAACUAGUCUUCACAAACUGCCAAUGCUGAAACUCAUUCGGUAUAGUUUUGAAUUUUUGAAUAAUAUGCAUCUGAUACACAGAUGUGGAAAUGCAAGAUUGUACAUGGUGAUGUGUGCCCACUGCCCAGCUUCUCUCCCCGGGGUCCCUCACUGUUUACAGGUGCAGGCAGGUCAUUGUUAGACAGGCACCACCUCUGUGGGGACAGUGUCUCUCUGAUGUGUUCUUGUUUUCUCCUUGUUACAAGCAUCCUGUUGGCUGCAUGUCCCAGAGCAUGUGUGUGAACCUGUCUGCAGGGUAAAAUUCUGGUUGAAUGACUUGGGUCUCGGGUGCGUGUGUCUCUGUCGUGUUCUGCGUUCUGCCUGUUGUUACUGUGGAGAGUGAGAAUUUAACUGUAUUCCUGUCAGUCCUCAGCACGUGCACCGAGUCAGUGAAGAUGGGAUGUUGACAAAGACUCAGGGAAUCGCUGCAGGCAGUGGUGAAAGUGGAGGAGUCCAGAUUUGAUUAAACUGGGGAAAGCCUUGAGGUGGUCCUGACAGUGGUUAAUGAGGAUUGCAGGAGUUCUCGUGUGUCUGUCACAUAUGAGGUUACGCAAGCAGGUGCCUGUUUCAUUAAAUAAACCAGUUACUGUCUCGGGGAGAAUUACCAGCAUGACAGGGUUCUAAGGACCUGGUGAGGAUUAGCCGUUUGACUUACUGGGGGCAUUAAACCAAGGUUGCGAUGGGCUCUGUUGGUGCUGUUGGCGGUAGAGACGGGCGUCUGACUCACGUUCAGCAGUCUUUCAUCCAGAGCAAGUUGUGCAGUUCUUGAGCAGUGGCAGUGGGGGCAGCAUUAGCGGUGCUGUGCUAACGCGAAGUCCCUAAGUUUAGUGUCAAGAGUAGGAGAACCUCGGAAGACUUCUAGAGGAGCCCUUCCCCUGUUGGUGGGAAGUUUUGAAAUUUUACUUGAAAUUUACCACCUUGUGUUCCUUGGAAAUACUGGAGGGGAGGUAAACUUUAUUUACAAGUGAAAUCGGGAGGGCCUCUCAGCCGUGUGUGUGAGGUAGCUUCACCGAAAA